rnacentral:rRNA from 1 species
UACGUAGGGGGCAAGCGUUGUUCGGAAUUACUGGGCGUAAAGCGCGCGUAGGCGGUUUGGCAAGUCAGAUGUGAAAGCCCCGGGCUCAACUUGGGAACUGCAUUUGAUACUGCCAGACUAGAGUACAGAAGAGGUGACUGGAAUUCCCAGUGUAGCGGUGAAAUGCGUAGAUAUUGGGAGGAACACCAGAUGCGAAGGCGGGUCACUGGGCUGAUACUGACGCUGAGGAGCGAAAGCGUGGGGAGCGAACAGG